rnacentral:rRNA from 1 species
AACGAACGCUGGCGGCAGGCUUAACACAUGCAAGUCGAGCGCCCCGCAGGGGGAGCGGCAGACGGGUGAGUAACGCGUGGGAACGUGCCCUUUGGUUCGGAACAACUCCGGGAAACUGGAGCUAAUACCGGAUAAGCCCUUCGGGGGAAAGAUUUAUCGCCAAAGGAUCGGCCCGCGUCUGAUUAGCUAGUUGGUGAGGUAAUGGCUCACCAAGGCGACGAUCAGUAGCUGGUCUGAGAGGAUGAUCAGCCACACUGGGACUGAGACACGGCCCAGACUCCUACGGGAGGCAGCAGUGGGGAAUAUUGGACAAGGGGCGCAAGCCUGAUCCAGCCAUGCCGCGUGAGUGAUGAAGGCCUUAGGGUUGUAAAGCUCUUUUGUCCGGGAAGAUAAUGACUGUACCGGAAGAGUAAGCCCCGGCUAACUUCGUGCCAGCAGCCGCCGUAA